rnacentral:rRNA from 1 species
UACGUAGGGGGCUAGCGUUGUCCGGAAUCAUUGGGCGUAAAGCGCGUGUAGGCGGUCCGGUAAGUCCGCUGUGAAAGUCGGGGGCUCAACCCUCGGAUGCCGGUGGAUACUGUCGGGCUUGAGUACGGAAGAGGCGAGUGGAAUUCCUGGUGUAGCGGUGAAAUGCGCAGAUAUCUGGAGGAACACCGGUGGCGAAGGCGGCAUCCUGGACCGGCAUUGACGCUGAGGCGCGAAAGCCAGGGGAGCAAACGGG